UACGGGGGGGGCAAGCGUUGUUCGGAAUUACUGGGCGUAAAGGGCGCGUAGGCGGCCUUCUAAGUCGGACGUGAAAUCCCUCGGCUCAACCGAGGAACUGCGUCCGAUACUGAAAGGCUUGAAUCCGGGAGAGGGAUGUGGAAUUCCAGGUGUAGCGGUGAAAUGCGUAGAUAUCUGGAGGAACACCGGUGGCGAAGGCGGCAUCCUGGACCGGCAUUGACGCUGAGGAGCGAAAGCCAGGGGAGCAAACGGG
rnacentral:rRNA from 1 species